rnacentral:rRNA from 1 species
CCUACGGGUGGCAGCAGUGGGGAAUAUUGCACAAUGGGGGAAACCCUGAUGCAGCGACGCCGCGUGAGUGAAGAAGUAUUUCGGUAUGUAAAGCUCUAUCAGCAGGGAAGAAAAUGACGGUACCUGAUUAAGAAGCCCCGGCUAACUACGUGCCAGCAGCCGCGGUAAUACGUAGGGGGCAAGCGUUAUCCGGAUUUACUGGGUGUAAAGGGGGCGUAGACGGCAGCACAAGUCUGGAGUGAAAUGCCGGGGGUUAACCCCUGAACUGCUUUUGAAACUGUGCAGCUAGAGUGUAGGAGGGGUAAGUGGAAUUCCUAGUGUAGCGGUGAAAUGCGUAGAUAUUAGGAGGAACACCAGUGGCGAAGGCGGCUUACUGGACUGUAACUGACGUUGAGGCUCGAAAGCGUGGGGAGCAAACAGGAUUAGAUACCCGUGUAGUC